CGCCUGAUACGGGCUAAGGGUCUCUGCUCUCUGAUACACAUUCAUGUGUAAAAUAACAGGCUAAGCACUGUUGAAAAAAUAAAGGAAAACAGACUUCACAAGGAUCUCCGUGCUGAAAGCAGCCUUCAACAGGAAGGUCCCUGGAGAAUCAGCUCCUUCCAAAAGAUCAGGGGAUGAAGACUUCAAGACCGCAACUGCUGCUGUCUCACCCCUAGGCAGGAAUGGACCACCCUCCGCCCUCCACCCUCCGCCAGCAGCCCACAGGAAGCAAGUAGAACCUGAUACCACCUCCCGCCAGUCUGUGAAUAUAUAAUCUGACUUGUAUUUUCCCUGUUUUCCCAUUUUGCAUACUUCAGAAUAAAGACAUCUGUUCAUAACA
rnacentral:lncRNA from 1 species